UACGUAGGUGACCAGCGUUGUCCGGAUUUACUGGGCGUAAAGAGCGCGCGGGCGGUCGUUCAAGUCGAGUGUGAAAGCCCCCGGCUCAACUGGGGAGGGUCACUCGAUACUGAUCGACUUGAAGGCAGGAGAGGGAAGCGGAAUUCCCGGUGUAGUGGUGAAAUGCGUAGAUAUCGGGAGGAACACCAGUGGCGAAGGCGGCUUCCUGGCCUGUUCUUGACGCUGAGGCGCGAAAGCUAGGGGAGCAAACGGG
rnacentral:rRNA from 1 species